CCCCCAGACCUGCUCACCUGUGCAGCAGAGCAGAGGGGCCUGGAAGGAGAGAGGAGACAGAAGCUAAAGAUGCAGGGUCUGGUGACAUUCAGUGAUGUGACUGUGACCUUCUCGAAAGAGGAGUGGGAAUGCAUGGACUCUGCUCAGUGGAAUUUGUACACUGAUGUGAUGUUAGAGAAUUA